AUCAACGCUGGCGGCGUGCCUCAGACAUGCAAGUCGAACGAUUAAAGCUUUCUUCGGAAAGUGUAUAAAGUGGCGUACGGGUGAGUAACACGUAAGUAAUCUACCCUCGGGUGGGGAAUAACUCAGGGAAACCUGAGCUAAUACCGCAUAAUGCAGCGGCACCGUAAGGUGACAGUUGUUAAAGGAGUAAUUCGCCUGAGGAGGAGCUUGCGGCAGAUUAGCUAGUUGGUAAGGUAAUGGCUUACCAAGGCUACGAUCUGUAGCCGGUCUAAGAGGACGGUCGGUCACACUGACACUGAAUAACGGGUCAGACUCCUACGGGAGGCAGCAGUCGGGAAUUUUGGGCAAUGGGCGAAAGCCUGACCCAGCAACGCCGCGUGAAGGAUGAAGUCUUUCGGGAUGUAAACUUCGAAAGAAUAGGAAGAAUUAAUGACGGUACUAUUUAUAAGCUCCGGCUAACUACGU
rnacentral:rRNA from 1 species